UACGAAGGGGGCUAGCGUUGCUCGGAAUGACUGGGCGUAAAGGGCGCGUAGGCGGAUGGCUUGUCGGGCGUGAAAUUCCAGGGCUUAACCUUGGGGCUGCGUUCGAGACGGGUUGUCUUGAGUGGGAAGAGGGUCGUGGAAUUCCCAGUGUAGAGGUGAAAUUCGUAGAUAUUGGGAAGAACACCGGUGGCGAAGGCGGCGACCUGGUCCUUACUGACGCUGAGGCGCGAAGCGUGGGAGCAACAGG
rnacentral:rRNA from 1 species